CGCUUAGUUCACAUGAAUUACGACUAAUUGAGUCACAAACUGCAGAUGCUGUUGCUGUUGGUUUCAAUGUGGAAUGGUUGCAACAAAGAGUUGAUGAAGUCACAGCAGCUUCCAAAUAUCAUGCCAUUCAGUCAGAGUUGGAUGAAUUGGGCCAACAAAUACAAUCUGCAAAGAAAUAUCUGAUGGAGAUGGAGCAGAGGCAUAUAGCUUUAUCAAAUGAAGUUGAUGCAAUCAAAACUGGAACGGAAGGAAAGAGCAUUGG
rnacentral:misc_RNA from 1 species